CCGUGGUGCGUGCCUAAUACAUGCAGUCGAGCGAAUGGAUUAAGAGCUUGCUCUUAUGAAGUUAGCGGCGGACGGGUGAGUAACACGUGGGUAACCUGCCCAUAAGACUGGGAUAACUCCGGGAAACCGGGGCUAAUACCGGAUAACAUUUUGAACCGCAUGGUUCGAAAUUGAAAGGCGGCUUCGGCUGUCACUUAUGGAUGGACCCGCGUCGCAUUAGCUAGUUGGUGAGGUAACGGCUCACCAAGGCAACGAUGCGUAGCCGACCUGAGAGGGUGAUCGGCCACACUGGGACUGAGACACGGCCCAGACUCCUACGGGAGGCAGCAGUAGGGAAUCUUCCGCAAUGGACGAAAGUCCGACGGAGCAACGCCGCGUGAGUGAUGAAGGCUUUCGGGUCGUAAAACUCUGUUGUUAGGGAAGAACAAGUGCUAGUUGAAUAAGCUGGCACCUUGACGGUACCUAACCAGAAAGCCACGGCUAACUACGUGCCAGCAGCCGCGGUAAUACGUAGGUGGCAAGCGUUAUCCGGAAUUAUUGGGCGUAAAGCGCGCGCAGGUGGUUUCUUAAGUCUGAUGUGAAAGCCCACGGCUCAACCGUGGAGGGUCAUUGGAAACUGGGAGACUUGAGUGCAGAAGAGGAAAGUGGAAUUCCAUGUGUAGCGGUGAAAUGCGUAGAGAUAUGGAGGAACACCAGUGGCGAAGGCGACUUUCUGGUCUGUAACUGACACUGAGGCGCGAAAGCGUGGGGAGCAAACAGGAUUAGAUAUCCUGGUAGUCCACGCCGUAAACGAUGAGUGCUAAGUGUUAGAGGGUUUCCGCCCUUUAGUGCUGAAGUUAACGCAUUAAGCACUCCGCCUGGG
rnacentral:rRNA from 1 species